rnacentral:ncRNA from 1 species
UAUAAGCCUGGUCCUGACUUUAAUAUCAGUUUUAACUCAACUUACACAUGCAAGUAUCCGCGCCCCAGUGAGUAUGUCCACCACCCCCUUAAUGGGGAGGAGGAAGUGGUAUCAGGCACACUUAAUAGCAGCCCAAGACACCUAGCUCAGCCACACCCCCAAGGGAAUGCAGCAGUGAUAGAUAUUAAGCUAUAAGCGAAAGCUUGACUUAAUUAAAGUUAAUUUAGAGCCGGUCAAACUCGUGCCAGCAACCGCGGUUAUACGAGAGGCUCAAAUUGAUAUACUACGGCGUAAAGUGUGAUUAAAGAACACAAAAACUAAAGCCAAACUUCCUCCCAUGCUGUCAUACGCAAUCGGAGAAAAUGAAGCCCACCAACGAAAGUAGCUUUAACAAUUCUUGAAUUCACGAAAGCUAAGACACAAACUGGGAUUAGAUACCCCACUAUGCUUAGCCGUAAACAAUGAUGAUAAAUUACAACUAACAUCCGCCAGGGGACUACGAGCAAUUGCUUAAAACCCAAAGGACUUGGCGGUGCCUCAAACCCACCUAGAGGAGCCUGUUCUAGAACCGAUGAUCCUCGUUAAACCUCACCACUCCUUGUUAUCCCAGCCUAUAUACCGCCGUCGCCAGUCUACCUCCUGAGAGUACAAUAGUAGGCAUAAAGGGCCCCGCCCAAUACGUCAGGUCGAGGUGUAGCGAAUGGAGUGGGAAGAAAUGGGCUACAUUUUCUGACCCAGAACAAUACGAAAAGUACCAUGAAAAAGUACUAUGAAGGUGGAUUUAGCAGUAAAAAGAAAACAGAGUGUUCUUUUGAAACUGGCUCUGAGGUGCGUACACACCGCCCGUCACUCUCCUCACAAAAUACACCAAAACAGUACAUAAACAUCAAAAAUAAAACUAGAGGAGACAAGUCGUAACAUGGUAAAUGUACCGGAAGGUGCAUUUGGAAAAU